UAUGUUUCCAUCAUUGUGUAGUAGCAGGACCAACUAUGCUGUUAGCCCUUACAGAGACAAAAAAAAUCUUCUUUUGCUCCAUCAGCUCUGGUGCAAAUUAAUUCUUUCCAGUGGCAUGAGCAGGUCAGUUUCUGCCACUGCUUGUUGUAGGUGUUGCUGCUGAGCUGUCUAACAGUCUGGAGAACUUCUGCACUUCUGGCACUACAUUUAAGUUAGUGAGUUCCUGAGUUAAAGCCUUUGAGUCAAAGAUAAGGGCUAUACAAGUUAAUAAUGAAAGUAUUUGAAUAUGGGGUAAUAUGAUCCUUAACGGGCUUGUCAAGAUCUGGCUCAGUGGAGCAGCAUUGGAUGAAAAAACUUUUGCUACUGAAGGCACACCAUUUUUUUUCCAGGUUUGAACUCCCUGGGUAGUAACUCAGUAUGAUAUCAGUCAAAUGGAAACUUUGAUUACUUGACGAUGAUGAUGAAGCCAACUGUGGAUUUGGGAGAAACUGUGCUUGUGGAAGAGAAAGGCUGCUGAAUCCCUUCAAGAUCUUGGACCUAGAAGAUAACCGAAGUAUUUUGAUGAUGCAGCCUCAUCUUCAGGGAGUUUAUUGCUCUGUAGUACAGGUGUGAAAUGGUUUCCAUGUAAGAGCUACAGUUCCUGAUUUUAGAAAAAUCCCUGCCCAGGAAGUGCAAGAGAGCAGAUGAGAUUAUGACAUAAUGUCAGUUCAUGAGUGGCAUGGAAAAAGUGAAUGAAGAAUGACUACUUGUUCUCACAGAAGGUUGAGAGCUUCUGUCUUCCAAGAUCCAAGUGUCAUCUAUCAGAAAUGUGAACACUAGACUGCAUUGAGAAAAUGCUGAGAGCACUGGACUUGUUCAGCCUUGAGAAAAAAAGGCUUACAGGAGACCUCAUUACCAUGUUCCAGUAUUUAAAGGGUGGCUACAAAGAAGAUGGAAACUUUUACAAGGAGUCACAUGGAAAACACAAGAGGCAACAGGUACAAGUUACUCCUGGAGAAAUUCCACUAGGACACAAGAGGAAAAUUUUUCAUGGUGAGAACAAUCAGACAUAGAAAUAAUCUCCCAAGGGAACUGGUGGAUUCCCCAACAUUGGACAGAGUGCUCGGCCAUCUUGUCUAGACUGUGCUUUUGCCAAGAAAGUUUCUGUGGUUCUAUGAUGUCUGUUCUUGUUUUAGGCUAUCAUUAUCUUCAAAUAAACUGGUAUAAAAAUAACAAUAAUAAAAAGUUUUGAGAAA